rnacentral:rRNA from 1 species
GAUUUCUGGUUGGAUGUGUUUAGCCCGCCAUGGUUUCAUGUGUGAGUGCUGAUACUCAUCUGCCAUCCUUCUAGACAACCUCCUUUCUCUUCAUUGAGAGGGUGAGGCGAUCUAGAUCUUUUACUUUGAAAAAAUUAGAGUGUUUCAAGCAGGCGUCAAGCUAUGAAUACAUUAGCAUGGAAUAAUAAGUUAGGACUUCGGUUCUAUUUUGUUGGUUUCUAGAGCUGAAGUAAUGAUUGAUAGGGAUAGUUGGGGGUGCUAGUAUUCAGUGGCCAGAGGUGAAAUUCUCGGAUUCCCUGAAGACUAACUUAUGCGAAAGCAUU